rnacentral:rRNA from 1 species
UACGUAGGGUGCAGGCGUUAAUCGGAAUUACUGGGCGUAAAGCGUGCGCAGGCGGUCUACUAAGACAGGUGUGAAAUCCCCGGGCUUAACCUGGGAACUGCGCUUGUAACUGGUAGGCUUGAGUGUGGCAGAGGGGGGUGGAAUUCCAGGUGUAGCAGUGAAAUGCGUAGAUAUCUGGAGGAACACCGAUGGCGAAGGCAGCCCCCUGGGCUAACACUGACGCUCAUGCACGAAAGCGUGGGGAGCAAACAGG